GGACUGUUUCAUGAUGCCUUAUGUGUAUGAACAGGGAUCCAGGAAAGCUGAGGCAGUUUGUAUUGGACCUGCACUCGGGAAAGUUGCACAGGGAGUUCCAUCAUGGCCCAGACCCCACAGACAGCACUCCAGGACAGGAGGAGAAUAGAGAGGUGGCCAGUAGUCCCCCAGAGAGUUCCUUCCAGAAAUUGGCCCCCAGUGAGACGCGCUACACCAUCCUCAGGGACCGGGACGAGCUGUGAUGUUACAACCGCAUCGAGACCCAACCCAGAACCCAGCAGCCAGCUGGUGCCUACCUGGCACUGCCGCUGCCUGUGCGAUGUCUAUUUUCAUAAUUUUUAUUUUAGAUAAAAAAAGUGAGAAGGUGAACCCCUGAGCCUUUUUGGGGUGGGGAAUGAAGAGAAGUGUUUUUAUUUUUGUUUUUGGAGCUUGUAAAUAUGUUUGUGCUCUGUGGGUCUUGUCUAAAUUAAAAACAUGAUUUUUUUUUUCUUUUAUUUUUAUUUUUAUUUUUUUGGCCUACAUUUUUGUCUACCCAAGUCCCUUUUUUUGUAGAAAAACAUUGGUACAUUGGUGGCCCUCUUUGUUGGGAACGCAAAUUGAGUUUCUUAUGGAUCUUAAGUGCGGGCAAGUGGAAUCAUGGGGAAAAAAAUAACAAACCUGCAGUCAACCCGUGGUGUUUCACUCCAGUCCUCAACAGAGCGUGCCCAGUGUGUGUGUAUGUAUGUAUGUGCGUGUGUGAGUAUGUGCACAUGUACAUUACAUGUGCUUAUUAGUCUGUAUUCGUAUGUACUGUACUGUUCCAGACUUGUUUAAAUUCACGCUCGCUAAGAUCCAGACUCGCUAGUCUCAUAUCAUCCCAUUCCACCAGGUGAGUGGUCAGGGGCAGGGUUAUGUGGGGGUCGGGUUUAGAGGGGUGGGGAUUAUUUGUAAAUCUGUCAUCUCAGAGGGGACAAGGAAACCAAAAAAAGAAAAGUAAAUUAAAAAACAUUUUACAAGAUUCUAUGUUGUCUGUUUCAUGAAGUGGGUUUCACUUUUGUAAUUCAUAUUUUUUUUCUACUUUUGCACUUUCUAGGUCCCAUUACGUCUGUACAUUAAAGGGAUAGUUCACCCAGAA
rnacentral:lncRNA from 1 species